GUUUGGUCCCAACUUUAUAUUCAACUAUUACUCAACUUACACAUGCAAGCAUCAACACACCCGUGAAAACGCCCUCACCCCUCCAACAGGAAGAGGAGCUGGUAUCAGGCACAAAUUACUCUGCCCACAACACCUAGCCACGCCACUCCCCCAAGGGAACUCAGCAGUGAUAAACAUUAUUCAUUAGCGCCAGCUUGAUCUAGUUAGAGUAAACAGGGCCGGCCAAUUCGGUGCCAGCCGCCGCGGCUACCCCGCUUGGCUCAAGUUGACAUUAUCGGCGUUAAGCGUGGUUAAAGGAACCCCCAACAAGAGUCAAACCUCAGCCAAGUUGUUAUACACCUGACCACAGGAAGCCCACAAACGAAAGCUACUCUUCACCCCACUUGAACCCACGACAAUUGAGACACAAACUGGGAUCAGGUACCCCACUAUGCCCAAUCGUAAAAUAUCAACUCACACCCUCAACCGCCAGGGAAUUACAAGCCCCCACUUAAAACCCAAAGGACUUGACGGUGUCCCACCCCCCUAGAGGAGCCUGUUCUAUAAUCGACACCCCACGAUACACCUCACCACCCCUAGCACACUCAGUCUGUAUACCUCCGUCGCAAGCUUACCAUGUGAACGCCACAGUGAGCUAAAAGAUCCACCCACCAACACGUCAGGUCAAGGUGCAACUAACGGAACGGAAAGCAAUGGGCUACAAUUUCUACAAUAGAACACACAACAACUGCAUGAAACACAGCACCAAGGCGGAUUUAGAAGUAAAAAGAAAACAGAGAGUCCUUUUUAACCCGGCCCUGGGACGCGUACACACCGCCCGUCACCCUCCUCGCCCUACCCCCAAGAGGAGGCAAGUCGUAACAUGGUAAGCGUACUGGAAAGUGCGCUUGGACAACAAAAUGUAGCUUAACCAAAGCAUCUCGCUUACACCGAGAUAGAUGUCAAUAAAUUUCUGACCAUUCUGAGCCCAACCCCCAGCCCCCCGCCACCAAAAACUCACAGCAAACAACAAAACAUUUUUCUAUCUAGUAACGGCGAUUAAAAAAUAAAUAGGAGCUGCAUAAACAGUACCGUAAGGGAAACGUGAAAUAACAAUGAAAACUAAAGCAAACUAAAGCAAAGAUUAACCCUUGUACCUUUUGCAUCAUGGUCUAGCUAGUCCAACCAAGCGAAACGCACUUAAAGUUUGACCCCCCGAAACUAAACGAGCUACUCUAAAACAGCCAACAGAGCUAACCCAUCCCUGUUACAAAAGGGCGGGAAGAUUUUAAAGUAGAGGUGACACACCCAUCGAGUUUAGAGAUAGCUGGUUAUUCAAAAGACGGAUUUAAGUCCAACUUUAAGUUUCUUUUAGUGCCACCACACAACCCCUAAACUUAAAAGCCAUUCAAAUAAGGUACAGCCUAUUUGAACAAGGAAACAGCCUACAAUACUGGGUAAUAACUACACACGUGAUCAAGUGGGCCCAAAAGCAGCCAACUUCUAAAAAGCGUCCAAGCUUCAUCACUAACCUUUACCAAUACCACCAUUUAUACAUAACCCCCAAUCAAUACUGAAUGACCCCAUACCACGCCCCUAUGGAGAACAUUAUGCUAGAACUAGUAACAAGAAGACGAACCUCUCCAAAAUGCAAGCAUAAGCCAAAAUUGAACCCCUCACUGUCACCUACCGCUACUCCAACCCAUAGUAUCAACCACACAAGAAAACCCCACUCUACCUAGCGUCAACCUUACACAAGAGCAUUACCGGAAAGAUUAACUGGGGAGGAAGGAACUCGGCAAACACCCAGCCCCGCCUGUUUACCAAAAACAUCGCCUCCCGACAAACAUGGGAGGUCCAGCCUGCCCGGUGACUAAUAGUUAAACGGCCGCGGUACUCUAACCGUGCAAAGGUAGCACAAUCACUUGUUCUUUAAAUCAGGACCAGUAUGAAUGGCCCCACGAGGGCUAUCCUGUCUCCCUCCCCCAAUCAGUGAAACUGAUCCCCUCGUGAAGAAGCGAGGAUAACCUCAUAAGACGAGAAGACCCCAUGGAACUUCAAACUAGUACCACCCCCCCCCCCCCCACACCACAUCAACAGGACAACAUGACUACUAGUCUUUCGGCUGGGGCGGCCACGGAGAAAACCAAAACCCCCGAGAUGAAAGGAAACCCCCUUAUCCCAGAACCACUAUUCCAAGAACCAACAAAUGACACCAUUGACCCAAUAAUUGAUCAACGAACCAAGCUACCCUGGGGAUAACAGCGCAAUCCACUUCAAGAGACCUCAUCAACAAGUGGGCUUACGACCUCGAUGUUGGAUCAGGGCAU
rnacentral:ncRNA from 1 species